rnacentral:piRNA from 1 species
UGGUAAAUAGUGGUUGAGACAAUGGC